AUACGGAGGACGCGAGCGUUAUCCGGAUUCAUUGGGUUUAAAGGGUGCGCAGGCGGCCGUGCAAGUCAGCGGUGAAAGCCCGGGGCUCAACCCCGGAAGUGCCGUUGAUACUGCAUGGCUGGAAUGCGGUCGAGGCGGGCGGAACGUGGGGUGUAGCGGUGGAAUGCGUAGAUAUGCCACAGAACGCCGAUAGCGGAGGCAGCUCGCCAGGCCUGCAUUGACGCUCGGGCACGAAAGCGUGGGGAUCGAACAGGAUUAGAUACCCUGGUAGUCCACGCCGUAAACGAUGGGCGCUCGUCGUCGGCGGCAGACAGUCGGCGGCCAAGCGAAAGCGAUAAGCGCCCCACCUGGGGAGUACGGUCGCAAGGCUGAAACUCAAAUGAAUUGGCGGGG
rnacentral:rRNA from 1 species